AUCAAUGGUGGGCUGGAUGAGGGAGCCGUAAGGCUUGCCGGUCCCUUUGUAGCCGGUAAGGUCAACCUCGUCCAGUUCGCCACCCAA
rnacentral:antisense_RNA from 1 species